GAAGCUCAUUUUGUAGCAAUACACAGAUUGUAAGGUGCUGCAUGGCUGUCGUCAGCUCGUGCCGUGAGGUGUUGGGUUAAGUCCCGCAACGAGCGCAACCCCCAUCAUUAGUUGCCAUCAGGUCAAGCUGGGAACUCUAAUGAAACUGCCGUCGUAAGACGCGAGGAAGGAGGGGAUGAUGUCAAGUCAUCAUGGCCUUUAUGCCCAGGGCUACACACGUGCUACAAUGGGAAGGACAAAGGGCUGCCACUUGGCGACAAGGAGCUAAUCCCAAAAACCUUCUCUCAGUUCAGAUCGCAGUCUGCAACUCGACUGCGUGAAGCUGGAAUCGCUAGUAAUCGUAUAUCAGCAAUGAUACGGUGAAUACGUUCCCGGACCUUGCACACACCGCCCGUCAAGCCAUGGAAGCCGGGUGUACCUAAAGUCGGUAACCGCAAGGAGCCGCCUAGGGUAAAACUGGUGACUGGGGCUAAGUCGUAACAAGGUAACCGU
rnacentral:rRNA from 1 species